AAACUUAAGGAAUUGACGGGGCCCGCACAAGCGGUGGAGCAUGUGGUUUAAUUCGACGCAACGCGAAGAACCUUACCAGGGCUUGACAUCCCCUGACCGCGUAUGAAAGUACGUUUUCACCCUCGGGUGACAGGGAGACAGGUGGUGCAUGGUUGUCGUCAGCUCGUGUCGUGAGAUGUUGGGUUAAGUCCCGCAACGAGCGCAACCCCUACGUUUAGUUGCUAACGCGUGAAGGCGAGCACUCUAGACGAACUGCCGUUGACAAAACGGAGGAAGGUGGGGAUGACGUCAAAUCAUCAUGCCCCUUAUGUUCUGGGCUACACACGUGCUACAAUGGCCGGUACAGACGGACGCAAAGCCGCGAGGUGGAGCAAAUCCUAAAAAGCCGGUCUCAGUUCGGAUUGCAGGCUGCAAUUCGCCUGCAUGAAGUCGGAAUCGCUAGUAAUCGCAGGUCAGCAUACUGCGGUGAAUACGUUCCCGGGCCUU
rnacentral:rRNA from 1 species